rnacentral:rRNA from 1 species
UACGUAGGGGGCAAGCGUUGUCCGGAUUUAUUGGGCGUAAAGAGCGUGUAGGCGGCCAGGUAGGUCUGCUGUGAAAACUCGAGGCUUAACCUCGAGAUGUCGGCGGAAACCAUCUGGCUAGAGUCCGGAAGAGGAGAAUAGAAUUCCAGGUGUAGCGGUGAAAUGCGCAGAUAUCGGGAAGAACACCCGUGGCGAAGGCGGUUCUCUGGGACGGUACUGACGCUGAGACGCGAAAGCGUGGGGAGCGAACAGG